AGCAUCUAAGCAUGAAGCCCCCCUGAAGAUGAGUUGUCCCAACUUCGGUUAUAAGAUCCCUCGAAGAUGACGAGGUUAAUAGGUUCGAGGUGGAAGCGUGGUGACACGUGGAGCUGACGAAUACUAAUCGAUCGAAGACUUAAUCAAUUUUUUAAA
rnacentral:rRNA from 1 species